GACGAACCGUGCAAACGUUAUUCGGAAUCACUGGGCAUAAAGGGCGCGUAGGCGGCUCCAAAAGUCAGGGGUGAAAUCCGGCAGCUUAACUGUCGCAGUGCCUUUGAUACUGUGGAGCUAGAGGGAGGUAGGGGUCUGUGGAACUUCCGGUGGAGCGGUGAAAUGCGUUGAUAUCGGAAGGAACGCCGGUGGCGAAAGCGACGGACUGGAUCUCUUCUGACGCUGAGGCGCGAAAGCCAGGGGAGCAAAGCGGGG
rnacentral:rRNA from 1 species